ensembl:lncRNA
AUGCCACGGUCACUCCUCUUCUCUCCCACCCACCCAAACCAGACCCAUAAUUUUGCUUUUGUUUCAGAUGUGGCCCCAGUUAUAAAGAAGGAAGCAGUGUGGAAAGUUCAACAGAGAAGGAUGCCGAAACGAAAGGGAUUUGGAGAAGGAGGAAUAGCCAGCUGGCCAUCGACCAACCCAGCAGGAUGUGAGUGGCCACCUAAAGUUCCAGCGUUUCCUGUUUACAACAGCGUGUGCGACACUUUCUGGGGGCGUCAAGGAUUUGGACAUCGAAGCUUCAUCGCCUAAACCAAAUGAAGCAAUGCUGAUGUGACAGUCAGACAAGAGUCAUUACGAGUGCCCUAGAGAGACUUCUACAUGUGUGCUGCAUGUCAUUUAAUGAGCUGAUGAGUGAACGUCACGCAACCUGUCAAGAACAAGUCUGGGUCACAUUUAACUCCAAAAUGAAAAGAAGAAAGAUUACAUUUACCAUAAAGCCUAUUUUUUGGCAUCGUGAUAUUUUUAUAUCAUGAAGGGGAAAGUAUCCCCUUCGAAUUAUUAACUAUUUAUCAUCACAGUGAGAAUGAGAAUCUUUCUGAGAAUCUAUCAUUAAAGGAAGAAUGAGAUUUUGGAGACAAAUGUGAACCGGACAGGUCAGAUUUGUGAGAUUCACUGUGCUACAAGAAUAAAUACUGAGAUGAUAACCCA